GACGAACGCUGGCGGCGUGCUUAACACAUGCAAGUCGAACGGAAGGGCCCUGCUUUUGUGGGGUGCUCGAGUGGCGAACGGGUGAGUAACACGUGAGUAACCUGCCCUUGACUUUGGGAUAACUUCAGGAAACUGGGGCUAAUACCGGAUAGGAGCUCCUGCUGCAUGGUGGGGGUUGGAAAGUUUCGGCGGUUGGGGAUGGACUCGCGGCUUAUCAGCUUGUUGGUGGGGUAGUGGCUUACCAAGGCUUUGACGGGUAGCCGGCCUGAGAGGGUGACCGGCCACAUUGGGACUGAGAUACGGACCAGACUCCUACGGGAGGCAGCAGUGGGGAAUAUUGCACAAUGGGCGGAAGCCUGAUGCAGAAACGCCGCGUGCGGGAUGACGGCCUUCGGGUUGUAAACCGCUUUCGCCUGUGACGAAGCGUGAGUGACGGUAAUGGGUAAAGAAGCACCGGCUAACUACGUG
rnacentral:rRNA from 1 species